rnacentral:tRNA from 1 species
GGGGUUGUGGCUCAGUGGUAGAGCACUCGUCUGGCGUGUGUGAGGUGCUGAAUUCGAUCCUCAGCACCACA